rnacentral:rRNA from 1 species
AGAGUUUGAUUCUGGUUCAGGAUGAACGCUAGCGACAGGCCUAACACAUGCAAGUCGAGGGGCAUCGGGGCGAGGAGCAAUCCUUGCCGCCGGCGACCGGCGCACGGGUGAGUAACGCGUAUGCGACCUGCCCGUUGCAGGGGGAUAAUCGGGAGAAAUCCCGUCUAAUACCGCGUAACGCCGCGGGGCUGCAUGGCCCUGCGGCCAAAGGGAGCGAUUCCGGCAACGGAUGGGCAUGCGUGACAUUAGCUAGUUGGCGGGGCAACGGCCCACCAAGGCGACGAUGUCUAGGGGUUCUGAGAGGAAGGUCCCCCACACUGGUACUGAGACACGGACCAGACUCCUACGGGAGGCAGCAGUGAGGAAUAUUGGUCAAUGGGCGCGAGCCUGAACCAGCCAAGUCGCGUGAGGGAUGACGGCCCUACGGGUUGUAAACCUCUUUUGUCGGGGAGCAAAUUCCGCCACGUGUGGCGGAGUCGAGAGUACCCGAAGAAAAAGCAUCGGCUAACUCCGUGCCAGCAGCCGCGGUAAUACGGAGGAUGCGAGCGUUAUCCGGAUUUAUUGGGUUUAAAGGGUGCGUAGGCGGACUGUCAAGUCAGCGGUAAAAUACGGGGGCUCAACCUCCGCCCGCCGUUGAAACUGACGGUCUUGAGUGGGCGAGAAGUAUGCGGAAUGCGUGGUGUAGCGGUGAAAUGCAUAGAUAUCACACAGAACUCCGAUUGCGAAGGCAGCAUACCGGCGCCCAACUGACGCUGAAGCACGAAAGCGUGGGUAUCGAACAGGAUUAGAUACCCUGGUAGUCCACGCAGUAAACGAUGAAUACUAGCUGUCCGGGGCGAAUGAGCCCUGGGUGGCACAGCGAAAGCGUUAAGUAUUCCACCUGGGGAGUACGCCGGCAACGGUGAAACUCAAAGGAAUUGACGGGGGCCCGCACAAGCGGAGGAACAUGUGGUUUAAUUCGAUGAUACGCGAGGAACCUUACCCGGGCUCAAACGACACAGGAACGUACCUGAAAGGGUUCGGCUCUACGGAGCCUGUGUCGAGGUGCUGCAUGGUUGUCGUCAGCUCGUGCCGUGAGGUGUCGGCUUAAGUGCCAUAACGAGCGCAACCCCCAUCGACAGUUGCUAACAGGUUAGGCUGAGGACUCUGUCGAGACUGCCGGCGCAAGCUGCGAGGAAGGCGGGGAUGACGUCAAAUCAGCACGGCCCUUACGUCCGGGGCGACACACGUGUUACAAUGGCAGGUACAGCGGGAAGCCACCUGGCGACAGGGAGCGGAACCCGAAAGCCUGUCUCAGUUCGGAUUGGAGUCUGCAACCCGACUCCAUGAAGCUGGAUUCGCUAGUAAUCGCGCAUCAGCCACGGCGCGGUGAAUACGUUCCCGGGCCUUGUACACACCGCCCGUCAAGCCAUGGAAGCCGGGGGUGCCUGAAGUGCGCUGCCGCGAGGAGCGCCCUAGGGUAAAACCGGUGACUGGGGCUAAGUCGUAACAAGGUAAC